AUGGCUCGCGUUCAUCGUCAGAACGAUGAUGAUGAUUUCAUGGAUCCACCACAGCAUAAUCGGGCAACUGGACGGAGAAAAGAGGGCGAUGAGAAGAAGAAAUGUAUUCGCAACAGAGCCUCCCAAGAACAACUGACUACAUUGACUGACAGAUUUACCGACGAUCAGAAGGGAGCUGCUGCUGAGAUGGGUAUGCAGGCUCUGAUGAAUGUCCGGUGCACGAAUCUUGUCAACCAUGUAUGCGACUGGCUUGGUGAGAUUUACGACCCCGCCUCUAGGGAAUUUGUGAUUCCGGGACGUGGAAGACUACCGUUGAACGAGGAAUCUGUAUUCUGCACUUUGGGUGUGCCUCGUGGACAGAUCAAAGUCCCGUACGAGGCCAUGACAACCCAUGGAGAUGUUUUUAAGAUGAAGCUACUCAUGUACCUCAUCUCAGCUAUUUUCGCGCCGACCACUUUUCUUCGCCCAAGCAACAAAUGCUUCCCCAUCCUGGCAAAACUGGAAGAUGUGAAGAACAUGAAUUGGUGUAAGUUCAUAACCGACUUCCUGCACGACGCAUUCUCAAACAAGAUGUACCAAAAGGGUUGUCGACUGCAUUUAAUGCUCAUGUACGUCGACUGUCUUAAUCUGUCCACCGUGGAUUUCACUGGGACAGGAGGCCCGCCGCCUACGCACAAGUUUGCUGUUUCUGCAUGGACUAUCAACGCUGUCAAGGUUGUGCUUGCUGCAGACAGUCUGAUGGCCAAGCAUGCUAUAGACUACAGCGUGUUUGGGGGGCCUCAAAACUUUGGAAAGUGGAUGGACGUGCACUCAGCUCCGUCUUGCCCUACUGAGGCGAGGGCACCUGUUGAGCAUCUAAUUGGGCAGUUUGCAUCUGGAAUGACCGGCUUGCUCGGGAAGUUAGUUGAGGGGUGGACGUCUCUUAGUGGCUCUGACAGUGACGCGGUUGCGAGGCAGUUCACUUCAUUUGUCCCAGAACGGACACAUCGGCCAACUGGUUGUCGUGGCCGGUAUGACUACAACAAUUCCCAAGAGCUUGCUGACACACAAGAUGAACUAGAUGGAGACGCUGGUCUUAGCAAGGAUGACGACGAUGACAUGGAGAACACGGAAGAGGACACCGAUGAUGAUGAACAUGCUGAAGUUCGUGCAGGUGCUAACAAGGGGAAAGAUGCACCAGAUGUCCCCCCACCGGAGAAAGUCAAAGAACAUAUGGCUGCGAGAGGCAAGGGGGUGUUGCCAUGA
rnacentral:rRNA from 1 species